CUGGGCUGAAACAGAUGAAACCGGGCGAGGUCUCUGAAAAAACUGGGUUUGGGGGGAGAGGUUUGUUCCCUGGUUGAAGAACAAAGAUCCGACAUGCUGUGGCACAUCGCCAAAAAACAAGUUUAAUGAAAAAAAGGACAAGGGUUACUGCAUCUAUUUUUGUGAAAACGGACUUCACAAGCCAUUAGAACUUUUCAAAUGCAGAUUUUCACUGCAAUUGUGACUACUUCAGGGUCCAAGAUCUGCUCCAGUGGUAUUAUGGGAACGUUUUAGAGUCAUGUAAAGAUCAGCUAAUGAUGACAAUAUGACCCGAUGCUGGUCAGUGAGCUGCCAGAGACGUCUGCUGGGAUACAGUUGGGAAAGACGUCUUCCUGUUGGAGAGAUUUGUCUGAGGUCAUUUUUCCCCUCUUCUGGGGUUAUGUUCUGUGAGGUGAAGACAUG
ensembl:lncRNA